GUGCUUGAUUCGGCAGCAUGUAUACUAAAAUUGGAAUGAUACAGAGAUUGGCAUGGCCCUUGCACAGGGAUGACACGCAAAUUUGUUAAGCGUUCCAUAUUAUU